rnacentral:misc_RNA from 1 species
AUGCGAUAAGUAAUGUGAAUUGCAGAAUUCAGUGAAUCAUCGAAUCUUUGAACGCACAUUGCGCCCGGCAGCAAUCUGCCGGGCAUGCCUGUCCGAGCGUCAUUUCUGCCCUCGAGCGCGGUCAGCCCUGCGGGGCCGGCCGCCGCCCGGUGUUGGGGCCCUGCCGGCGCGAGCCAGCAGCCCCCGAAAUGAAGUGGCGGUCCCGCCGCGGCGCCCCCUGCGUAGUAGUUCUAUAUCACUCGCAUCGGGUCCCGGCGACGGCCAGCCGUCGAACCCUCUUUCUUUUGAUGGUUUGACCUCGGAUCAGGUAGGGUUACCCGCUGAACUUAA